rnacentral:rRNA from 1 species
GUAACGGAGAGUUUGAUCCUGGCUCAGGAUGAACGCUGGCGGCGUGCCUCAAACAUGCAAGUCGAGCGGGGCUAU